rnacentral:misc_RNA from 1 species
AGGCCAAGGAUCCCGAGAUCAGCGAGGCCGUGGUUCCGUA